GUGCUCACUUUGGCAGCACAUAUACUAAAAUCGGAACGAUACAGAGAAGAUUAGCAUAGCCAAUGUGCAAAGAAGACAUGCAAAAAUGAAUAUUGUUAAAAUGUCCAU
ensembl:snRNA U6 U6 spliceosomal RNA